CCAGUCACCGCGUCCGGGACCACCUCUCCAGCCAACACCGUCUCCUUGCGGUUAGCUCCACACUGCCCAUCAGGAUGACCUCUCAGAUCCGUCAGAAUUAUUCCACCGAGGUGGAGGCUGCAGUCAACUGCCUGGUCAACCUGCACCUGGUGGCCUCCUACACCUACCUCUCCCUGGGCUACUAUUUCGACUGGGAUGACAUGACUCUGGAGGGUGUGGGCCACUUCUUCCACGAGUUGGCCGAGGAGAAGCACUAGGGCAUGGAGUGGCUGCUCAAGUUGCAGAACCAGCGUGGCAGCCGCGCGCUCUUCCAGGAUGUGCAGAAACCAGCUCAGGAUGAGUGGGGUAAAACCCAGGAGGCCAUGGAAGCUGCCUUGGCCCUGGAGAAGAACCUGAACCAGGCCCUCCUGGAUCUUCAUGCCCUCGGUUCUGCCCGCACAGACCCCCAUGUAAGUACCUUGGUCAUCCUUGGUCCCUGUUUUUUAUUUUUAAUGAUUAAGUUUAUUCGAGACUGGAGAGCUGGCUCAGUGGUUAAGAGCAUUGGCUACUCUUGCAGAAAACCCGGGUUCCAAUCCCAGUACCUACAUGGCAACUAACAACCGUUUGUAACUCCAGUUCCAGAGAAAACCCUCUUCUGAUGACCUCCGUGGGUAUUGCACGACGUGGGUGCACUUGCGUGCAUGCAAGCAUUAACAUUGAUACGCAUAAAAAAUAAUUUCUGUAAAAAAGAUUUAUUCUUAUUUUAUGGGUCUGAGUGUUUGCCUUUGAUCCUGAGUGCAGGGAUUAAAUGUGCACCACCACCCAGGGC